rnacentral:rRNA from 1 species
UACGUAGGGCGCAAGCGUUAUCCGGAAUUACUGGGCGUAAAGCGUGCGCAGGCGGUUUUGUAAGUCUGUCGUGAAAGCCCCGGGCUUAACCUGGGAAUUGCGAUGGAGACUGCAAGGCUUGAAUCUGGCAGAGGGGGGUAGAAUUCCACGUGUAGCAGUGAAAUGCGUAGAGAUGUGGAGGAACACCGAUGGCGAAGGCAGCCCCCUGGGUCAAGAUUGACGCUCAUGCACGAAAGCGUGGGGAGCAAACAGG